CUUUCAUUAGAGAGGGGAGUAACCAUCACCCUUUUAUUUUGGUACAUUACACAAGUACAUAUCAUAACAUUAUGGAAAUACAUUAAUAUUAAAAAACUCCUUUUUAUUCAUAUUAUUGCAUCUUAUUCUUGCUCACUAACACGUAUAUGCCGAUAAACAUACAAUUACACAACCCUUUUACACUGUAUAUAGGGCUACUCCUUUGCCGCCAGUUUAGCUCAGUUUCUUCAGUACAUCUUCGAUCAGCCCCGGUUUGUUAAAAAGAUUCAUCUAGUAGCCAAUAAAAGGUCUCUCCUCUUAAAAAAGAAAAAAAAAAAGAAAAAAGAAAACCCCUAAUGGCAUUUCACCAGCAAGGUUCAAAAACUGUUGCAAAUGGUAUGUUGAGAAGAGACCAAUAUUUUUUGACUGCUAAAAAAUAAAGACAAACUGGACCAAUCUAGUCGUGUAGGCGCGUUUGUUCAUAGUAAGGCAAAUUUUUGGAGUACAACAGAAAUAAAUAGAAAAUACGGAUAUAGAUAUAGUUAUAGUUGUAGGUUGUUUCAGAGUUUAAUCAUCAUCUUGAAUGUAGGAGCAGAGAAGCAUGGUGGCGCAGCGGCGGAGAAUGUAAAUCCGGGCUCGUUGUUCUUUAACCAGAGAAGCACAUUUUCUUGUAAACCUAGUGCUUUUUCUCUUUGAAGGAGUGUAGAUUGCAGCACUCUUGUAUUGUUGCUUCAUCUCAGCCAUUGGUGAAUGAUCUUGAUGUAUCAGAAAUGGCCAAUCAAAAGUUAAGAUUUUCAACUUGAAGAGAAAAAGUGUUGGGAAAAAAAGCCCACCGAAUGGAGCUACACCCUUGAGGAAGGCAACACAUGGGGACCGUAUAUA
rnacentral:lncRNA from 1 species